rnacentral:misc_RNA from 1 species
CGCGUGAUCCAAGUCAACACGAGGCGCAACAGGCUUCCGUAAGGGACAAUUGUUUCGGACUUAAUAGGGACCAAGAACCCAACCGAUCGCAUUUCCGCAUUCAAGAUUUCUGGCAGCACAUGGACCCCCGACGCUUGCAAGACCAAAUGGAAAAACAAGGGCGGGCGUCCAUUGAAGCUUUCACGGACUGUCUCGCACAAAUUUGGAAGCACGAGACAAAUGAGGGACUGUGGGACUACGAGAUUCCGUCAAAACAGGUACGUUGCACAGGCGACACGGGCAGCCCAAGGGAAAAUAAUCACCUUUCAAACAGAACUGAACAGUCACGAACCAGCGGUUGUCGCUGCCCGGGCAGGGAUCCAACCAACCGGGACGUACC